GCUCAAAGAGUCUCGCUUGGGCUUGCUCCAGCCAUCAGCAAACGGAGAUUGGAAAAUCAUCGUGCCCACCUCAAGGUGUUUCUCUUCUCUCACUGUAAUAAAUUCUCCCGACAUUAGCAGGAGCCAGGGGGCGGUCAGCCCAGGGCGCUGACUGACAGCUCGAGAGCAGAGCCGGCGCGGAUGGAGGGCGGAGUGGCACGCCGUGCGCGGAAGCCGUGGGCAGGGUGAUUGCCGGGCUCCCGUGAGGACAGGCGGUCCACGGGGCUGUGACUCACACUUUGUAAAUUGGUUUCAUGCAUGGGCUAUCAAUGGGGGCCUGGCUGGAUAAUAGGAUUUUCCAACACAGUUCUUCUCCCCUCUCCUCCGCAGCCGUUCAAAUCUCCGUGCAGAGCGCCUGCAGGGGAUGCGAUGUGCUUGGCAGGGCGUGCCCCGGCCAGGCUCCGCAGCUCUAUCCUGGGCCAUGCGGAUCUAAGAGGCCGUGCUUCAGAGCAGCCUCGGAGAGAGGCUUAUGUGCUCCAUGCGGGGUCAGGGGGAGGCGGGGGGUGGCCGGGAGCACAGCGUCACAGUCUCAGGCAGCCCCUGCCAGGCAGGCUAUGGGUUCAGGCAUUCUCAGCCAGCCUGUCCAUUAUUGGCGUGGGGGUGGGGUCCUCAGGAUGUGCCCAUGGGGCUGCAGCGACUGCUCACGGCUUGACGCCAUGGUCCCGCCGGCCUCGACUGUCCACAAAACCAGCCAGCUCCUUGAAAUUCCUCCGGGAGAUUUCCUGAAGUGCCACAUUGUGACAAGGAAGGGGUAUGCCCUGUGCCCUCCCUGGCUCUCCCAGUUCUUCUACCCGCCGGAUGACGGAAGGACAGGUUUCCAGCUCCUUGCCACCAGGGCUUCCGGGGGAGGCUGUGAAUCUCCAGAAGCCCCUAAGGGUUGGGCACUUUUGGUUGCAAAGCACAGGGGCUUUGGAGCCAGAAGACUUCAAAGUCUGAAUUGUGCCUCUACUUCUUGCAAGCUAUGCGAUUGUGGUCAAGUGACUCCCUGUGCCUCAGUGUUUCCAUCUGGAAAGAGGGCUAACAAAUAAGAAUACCCUCCUUGCAGGGCUACAGGAG
rnacentral:lncRNA from 1 species